rnacentral:tRNA from 1 species
GCGUCGGUGGGCCGGCGGCCGAGGAUUUCCCGGAUCCGCGCGUACUCGUCUUCGGCGAGGCCGAGUUCGACGUACGGCUGGCUCG